CCUACGGGAGGCAGCAGUGGGGAAUUUUGGACAAUGGGCGCAAGCCUGAUCCAGCAAUGCCGCGUGCAGGAAGAAGGCCUUCGGGUUGUAAACUGCUUUUGUCAGGGAAGAAAUCCCUUGGGAUAAUACCUCGGGGGGAUGACGGUACCUGAAGAAUAAGCACCGGCUAACUACGUGCCAGCAGCCGCGGUAAUACGUAGGGUGCGAGCGUUAAUCGGAAUUACUGGGCGUAAAGCGUGCGCAGGCGGCUUUGCAAGACAGAUGUGAAAUCCCCGGGCUCAACCUGGGAACUGCAUUUGUGACUGCAAGGCUAGAGUACGGCAGAGGGGGAUGGAAUUCCGCGUGUAGCAGUGAAAUGCGUAGAUAUGCGGAGGAACACCAAUGGCGAAGGCAAUCCCCUGGGCCUGUACUGACGCUCAUGCACGAAAGCGUGGGGAGCAAACAGGAUUAGAUACCCUGGUAGUCCACGCCCUAAACGAUGUCAACUGGUUGUUGGACGGCUUGCUGUUCAGUAACGAAGCUAACGCGUGAAGUUGACCGCCUGGGGAGUACGGCCGCAAGGUUGAAACUCAAAUGAAUUGACGGG
rnacentral:rRNA from 1 species